rnacentral:rRNA from 1 species
AAAUUGAAGAGUUUGAUCAUGGCUCAGAUUGAACGCUGGCGGCAGGCCUAACACAUGCAAGUCGAACGGUAACAGGAAACAGCUUGCUGUUUCGCUGACGAGUGGCGGACGGGUGAGUAAUGUCUGGGAAACUGCCCGAUGGAGGGGGAUAACUACUGGAAACGGUAGCUAAUACCGCAUAACGUCGCAAGACCAAAGAGGGGGACCUUCGGGCCUCUUGCUAUCGGAUGUGCCCAGAUGGGAU